AUGAAAUUCCUUGCUCAGCUCCUGGGGCUGCUAAUGCUCUGGAUCCCAGGAUCCAGUGGAGAUAUUGUGAUGACCCAGACUCCACUCUCCCUGCCUGUUGUCCCUGGAGAGCUGGCCUCCAUCUCAUGCAGGUGUAGUCAGAGCCUCCUACAUAGUAAUGGAAACACCUAUUUGCACUGGUUCCUGCAGAAGCCAGGCCAGUCUCCAAGGCGUCUGACCUAUAGGGUGUCCAACCGGAACUCUGGGGUCCCAGACAGGUUCAUUGGCAGCGGGUCAGGGACAGAUUUUACACUUGGAGGCUGA